CCCUACCACCAUAGCCGAUCCUAUUAUCCAAGAUAAUGUAGAACAUGGGCCUCACCCUCCCCCAGGAAAGACAGGUGCCAAGUACAUUAUCAGGGAAGAUGGCCAGAGGCUGGAUCUUCGUUAUGUGAAGAAAAGUAGUGAUCAGCAUCUGGAGCUGGGUUACAAGGUGGAAAGGCACCUCAUUGAUGGAGAUUUUGUUCUUUUCAACCGACAGCCCAGUCUUCACA